rnacentral:rRNA from 1 species
UACGUAGGGGGCUAGCGUUGUCCGGAAUCAUUGGGCGUAAAGCGCGUGUAGGCGGUCCGGUAAGUCCGCUGUGAAAGUCGGGGGCUCAACCCUCGAAUGCCGGUGGAUACUGUCGGGCUAGAGUGCGGAAGAGGCGAGUGGAAUUCCUGGUGUAGCGGUGAAAUGCGCAGAUAUCAAGAGGAACACCAAUUGCGAAGGCAGCUCGCUGGGACGUUACUGACGCUGAGACGCGAAAGCGUGGGGAGCAAACAGG